rnacentral:rRNA from 1 species
GACGAACGCUGGCGGCGUGCUUAACACAUGCAAGUCGAACGGAAAGGCCCUGCUUUUGUGGGGUUCUCGAGUGGCGAACGGGUGAGUAACACGUGAGUAACCUGCCCUUGACUUUGGGAUAACUUCAGGAACCUGGGGCUAAUACCGGAUAGGAGCUUCUGCUGCAUGGUGGGGGUUGGAAAGUUUCGGCGGUUGGGGAUGGACUCGCGGCUUAUCAGCUUGGUGGUGGGGUAGUGGCUUACCACGGCUUUGACGGGUAGCCGGCCUGAGAGGGGGACCGGCCACAUUGGGACUGAGAUACGGCCCAGACUCCUAAGGUAGGCAGCAGGGGGGAAUAUUGCACAAUGGGCGGAAGCCUGAUGCAGAAGCGCCGGGUGCGGGAUGACGGCCUUCGGGUUGUAAACCGCUUUCGCCUGUGACGAAGCGUGUGUGACGGUAAUGGAUAAAGAAGCACCGGCUAACUACGUG